rnacentral:rRNA from 1 species
AAUUCCCUACGGGGGGCAGCAGUGGGGAAUAUUGGGCAAUGGGCGCAAGCCUGACCCAGCAACGCCGCGUGAAGGAAGAAGGCUCUCGGGUUGUAAACUUCUUUUAUCAGGGACGAAGCAAGUGACGGUACCUGAUGAAUAAGCCACAGCUAACUACGUGCCAGCAGCCGCGGUAAUACGUAGGUGGCAAGCGUUAUCCGGAUUUACUGGGUGUAAAGGGCGUGUAGGCGGGAAAGCAAGUUAGAUGUGAAAACCAUGGGC